rnacentral:rRNA from 1 species
UCGAGCGGACAGAUGGGAGCUUGCUCCCUGAUGUUAGCGGCGGACGGGUGAGUAACACGUGGGUAACCUGCCUGUAAGACUGGGAUAACUCCGGGAAACCGGGGCUAAUACCGGAUGGUUGUUUGAACCGCAUGGUUCAAACAUAAAAGGUGGCUUCGGCUACCACUUACAGAUGGACCCGCGGCGCAUUAGCUAGUUGGUGAGGUAACGGCUCACCAAGGCAACGAUGCGUAGCCGACCUGAGAGGGUGAUCGGCCACACUGGGACUGAGACACGGCCCAGACUCCUACGGGAGGCAGCAGUAGGGAAUCUUCCGCAAUGGACGAAAGUCUGACGGAGCAACGCCGCGUGAGUGAUGAAGGUUUUCGGAUCGUAAAGCUCUGUUGUUAGGGAAGAACAAGUACCGUUCGAAUAGGGCGGUACCUUGACGGUACCUAACCAGAAAGCCACGGCUAACUACGUGCCAGCAGCCGCGGUAAUACGUAGGUGGCAAGCGUUGUCCGGAAUUAUUGGGCGUAAAGGGCUCGCAGGCGGUUUCUUAAGUCUGAUGUGAAAGCCCCCGGCUCAACCGGGGAGGGUCAUUGGAAACUGGGGAACUUGAGUGCAGAAGAGGAGAGUGGAAUUCCACGUGUAGCGGUGAAAUGCGUAGAGAUGUGGAGGAACACCAGUGGCGAAGGCGACUCUCUGGUCUGUAACUGACGCUGAGGAGCGAAAGCGUGGGGAGCGAACAGGAUUAGAUACCCUGGUAGUCCACGCCGUAAACGAUGAGUGCUAAGUGUUA